rnacentral:rRNA from 1 species
UACGUAGGGGGCUAGCGUUGUCCGGAUUUAUUGGGCGUAAAGAGCGUGUAGGCGGCCAGGUAGGUCUGCUGUGAAAACUCGAGGCUCAACCUCGAGACGUCGGCGGAAACCAUCUGGCUAGAGUCCGGAAGAGGAGAGUGGAAUUCCUGGUGUAGCGGUGAAAUGCGCAGAUAUCAGGAAGAACACCAAUGGCGAAGGCAGCUCUCUGGGACGGUACUGACACUGAGACGCGAAAGCGUGGGGAGCGAACAGG